GGAAGUGUAGCUCAGUGGGAGAGCACUUGCCAGCAUGCAUAAGGCCCUGGGUUCCAUUCCCAGCACUACAG
rnacentral:tRNA from 1 species